rnacentral:rRNA from 1 species
AACGAACGCUGGCGGCAGGCUUAACACAUGCAAGUCGAACGCCCCGCAAGGGGAGUGGCAGACGGGUGAGUAACGCGUGGGAAUCUACCCAGAUCUACGGAACAACAGAGGGAAACUUCUGCUAAUACCGUAUACGCCCUACGCGGGAAAGAUUUAUCGGAUUUCGAUGAGCCCGCGUAAGAUUAGCUAGUUGGUGAGGUAAUGGCUCACCAAGGCGACGAUCUUUAGCUGGUCUGAGAGGAUGAUCAGCCACACUGGGACUGAGACACGGCCCAGACUCCUACGGGAGGCAGCAGUGGGGAAUAUUGGACAAUGGGCGAAAGCCUGAUCCAGCCAUGCCGCGUGAGUGAUGAAGGCCUUAGGGUUGUAAAGCUCUUUCAGUAGGGAAGAUAAUGACGGUACCUACAGAAGAAGCCCCGGCUAACUUCGUGCCAGCCGCCGCAGUAAUAC